CACAUAUCUCUUGCUACAUUGGUGGAAUUAAUCUCACUUGUGGCAAUGCCUUUUCCUAGGGACAGAAUUGGAGUGCAAUGCUCAGAAGCCCCACUACCUGCAAGGAAACAGAAUCCUACAAUGAACAUGCAGCAUACAGGAGCCUGGCAGAAGGGCCUUCCUGAAGUGUGGCAACAGUAACCCCACUGUAACCACCUGACAUACUGUAGGGGCACCUCUACUUGCAGGGAAUCUUCCCAUACUGGCACAAAGGAACUGUGACAGAGGUUCUAUCAUCUCCAAACACGGUUUUCUCAAGAAACACUCUGUAAAUGCCACUGAACUCACAUGCCCGAAUAUCUGUAAAACAAGGGCCUUAGCAGAGAUAAGGAAUCACACAAAAAAAGAUUAGGCAACAGCAGGCCUACAGGAGGAAGUGGCAUAUUGGGAUUGCAAAUGAUGACUGACUCAGCAGAUGAUGCCGUAACCAGCAGUCAUUUUAUAUCCUGUGCCUGCUGAAAUGAACCAUGGAACCAUGUGUUUGGAUCACAGCUCAGAAGAUGAGCACCUACAGCUGUGUAUGCAUGAUUUUCCAAGGAGAAGUAGAGAACUCAGACUGCUCUUCUGGAGAACCAAGGAACCUUCACCAACUCAAACUGUACUUCCUACUGACCUUGCAGAUAACUGUGAACCAAAACACUCAGCCCUCUAAUUUCUGUUCCUGACGGAGCUUUACAAGAUUGAGCUAAAUUUAACGAGGAGGAGGAGGAAG
rnacentral:lncRNA from 1 species